AUGGAAUAUACCAGAACUCUACCUGGCUAUGGUUGGAGAUCACCGGGUCCAGACUACAUCAAGAUCAACACGGAUGGUAGCGUCUCUCCGACUGAAAACAGAAGCGGGGCGGGUGGUGUUGCACGAACCUCCUCCGACUUCAUUGCUGCCUGGAGCAAGCCACAUGAGAACAUCACAGAUCCACUAAUCGCAGAAGCGCUGGCCCUGCGAGAUGGUGUCAUCUUCGGCAAGCUUCGGGGUUUUUCGCGGGUGAUCUUCAAGGUCGACUGCUUGGAGCUGGUUCAGCUCUGGAACUCGCGACAGUUCUCGUGCUCUCUUAUAGCGCCUAUUCUCCUUGAAAUUGGAGGGCUAGCCUCAUCGUUUGUUUACUUUGACAUUCUUCAUGUAAUGAGACAAUCUAACACAUCAGCUCACCUGUGUGUGAAACAUGCAAGCACUCUAGGUGUGUCUGACUGUUGGAUGAACUCCCCUGGUUUCCUCGUGACCAGCCUCAUGGCUGAUCGCGCUGGUGAUGUUAGUGAAUGA
rnacentral:rRNA from 1 species